AGGGAGGUUGAUGGUCACUCAAUGGUCACUCAGGGGUCAGUGGUCACUCAGUGGUCACUCAGUGGUCACUCAGGCAGGUCGAUGACCAGCUCGUCGUCGCCGUCCAGGGCAGGUCGGUGGUCACUCAGGGAGGCCAAUGGUCACUUAAUGGUCACUCAGGGAGGCCGAUGGUCACUCAAUGGUCACUCAGGGAGGCCGAUGGUCACUCAAUGGUCACUCAGGGAGGCCGAUGGUCACUCGGGGUCACUCGGGGUCACUCGGGCAGGUCGAUGACCAGCUCGUCGUCGCCGUCCAGGGGGUCGUCGCUGCCCUCGCCCUCGCCCUCGCCGCCCCCGGGGCCGCUCAGGAGCCGCCGGGGCAGCGUGGGCGGCACGGGGGGCGGGGCGG
rnacentral:lncRNA from 1 species